CAGAAUAAAUGGACGUAAAAACUAGUCCCUUAAAAUAGCCCAAGUUCCUCAAAACCCAUCCAGCCAGACUUGUAAACAGGCGAUUGAGAUGCUGAAACUGCUUCAAGACAGAUGUCUUUUUAAACAGUGUUCAGGAUUCCUUCUGGGGCUCCUAGUUACGCAGUUCCUCAAGCAAGAGGCACUUUAUCUUCAGACAUCUGCAACUGUCAGAGAGGUGGUGUGGCAGCACAGAUGUGGGGCCUUGUGCAUUAAAGCUCACAGGCACAUCCUGACCACCAUCUCAGAGCAAACAGUUGGUGGGCAGCUCAGGGGAGAGCUAUGCUCCUGUGGACUCACUAUGACCAGCCUCUGCCCCUGCUCUGCUGAGCCUCUCUCUUUGCCGAGUGGCUAAAACCUGUAAUUUCUGGUUUUCUUGCUAUGUAGUGCAGGCUGACCUUGAACUCACAGAGAUUUGACUGCCUCUGUCUUCUUAGUACUGGGAUUAAAGGUAUGUGCCUAUACCCUGACACUUGGUUUAUUUUCUCAGCUUUUAAGAGUGGCUGAGAGCUGGGGAAUUGGCUCAGGCAAUAAAGUGCUGGCUGUGCGAGUGUGAGGACCUGAGUUCGUUCUCCAGGACCUAUAUGAAAAAUAAACAAGCAAGCAAGCCAUCAGCAACAGCGAGGAGUGGGGUAGCAGGCUUGGGAUCCCAGCCUUUCAAGAGACAGAGAUAGGUGGGUUCCCUGAGGAAUGGCAGCCAGUGUAGCCAUCAUGAGAUGUUCCAAGACAGUGAGAGAUCAUGUCUCAGAAAACAAGAUGAAUAGAUCCAGAGGAAGAACAUCUGAGUGGACCUCUAGCCUCUAAGCUUACAUGCACCUGCAUAACACUCGAACAUGCACACACACACACACACACAAUGUGAUUGACAGGGUCCUCUCCUGUUUCCUGCAGGGGUAAAAUUUCUUUUAUCUCAUCAAAAUAUAGCCCCGACACACACAGACAUGCUUGGUUAAAUUUGUAAUAUUAGCCCCCAAAUAUCUCCGCACUUACUUGCCUAGAUCCUUCCACUAAUUUGAUGGGGAUGAUUUUGGGACAGAUGACAGGGAGACACCGACAGCUCUCUGUUAAUAUGAAAGGGACCACUGUAGCACCUCUUUUCUUUCCCAUGGUAGGUAACGCCUCAUGCUUAAGUGAGACCCAAGUGGGUUACCCCACAUAGCUGGAACUCUGAGGAAUCAGCCCGUCAUUAAGAAGCAGAGUGCUGGUACACAGUUCAGUGGUAGAGCAACUGCCUGGCAUGCACCGAGUCCUGGAUCAGAUCUCCCAUCCCCAAACCAAAGCAAGCAACCUAACCCACAAGAUCUAAUGGUAUCUUCAUAUAGCAUUUCAGAGACAAAGGAUUAAAAUUGUUUUAAAAACCGUAGCCCAAGGGGGCUGGUGAGAUAGCACAGCAGCUAAGAGACCCACGUACAGUUCUCAGCACCUGGAUGGCUUGCAACUGCCUGCAACACCAGCUCCAGGGGAUCUGCUAAUGUCUUUUGGUCUCGAAGGCACCUACACUCACUUGCAUGCACACCUACAUUUUAUUUGAAAAUGUAAUGUGUUUUCAAAACGAAGAACUGUGGGUCAAGACCAUAUCUGAACCUUGAAUGCAGGCCUAUCCGGGGGUUUAGUGGAAGAAAUAAAGAAGAGAACUCACCAAGAACUAAGCUAGAAAGUCACACCGUCUUCUUACCAGUUGUAGUAAUAAAAUCAAUACUGUUGAAAAUAAUGAAAGUUUUGAGGGUCAUUAAUCAGUUAAAAUAUUUUUUUUUGCAAUGGGGAGAGUCUUAUCCAUCUCAGGCAAGUGUAUUAUCAUUGGUCUACACCCUUAGUCUUGCUAUUGGUGUGGUGCAGUGGUGUGUGUGUGUGUGUGUGUGUGUGUGUGCUCAUGUGUGUAGGCCUGUGUGAACAUGUGUGCACCUGCAUGAAGGUCAGAUGGCAACUUUGGGUGUUGAUUCUUGAGGAAUAGUCUACUCUUUGUGUGUGUGUGUGUGUGUGUGUGUGUGUGUGUGUGUGUGUGUGUUUUGGGGGGUAUCUCACUGGCCUGCAAUUCAUCAGGUAGACUGGCUGACUGGCCCGAAAGUCCCUCAGGGAUCCACCUGCCUCCAUCUCCUGUGUGCUGGGAUUGUAGGAUUUGACACCAUGUCCAGUCUUUAUGCACUAGUUCUAUGGGUAGAACUCAAGUCUUCCUGUUUGCUUGACAAGAACUUUGUUGAUCAAGCCAGAUCCCCAAUCCUUUUGUCAGUUUUAUUAAGGAGUUUCCCUUGGUGGGAAGUUAAAAUUUGCUGUGGGGGCCUUUACAUUCUCCGAACAGUUCUUGGUCGACAGCUGCUUGUAGCAAAACCCUUCCAGAGUUAGUGUACAAUCUCUGUCCUCACUGUUGGCUUCGUUCAUCCAUAGUGACAUUCUGGCCACUAAAAACAUCAUUUAAAUUAAUUUCCUGGCCAAUAGAAUGCGGCUUCCUGGAAUUUGAGCUAUGUGUGUUGCCUGGACCAUGUUAGGGCUGAAGCAACUGGGCCAGGCAUGGCCUAGGGUACAAAGAGGUGGUGAUUAAUUUAGGGGUCAAGUGUUCAAACAUCUGGCGCCCGUAGACUGCUUGCUUCAGUUCAGACACCUCUGCUUGGGAAGCAGGAGCAGCGGCGAGCCCCCCUGCUGUCCUUAUUUUCAGCCUAGUUGCCUGGUGCUCUGCCCUUCAGCUUCUCUGAGACACAAGCCCAAGGGAGAACGUACACUGCAGUUUGUACCACCCUGUGGUGACUUUAUGCUAUGACAUACACUCUCUCCACUAGCCUUCUUAAUCUACUGCUAGCUCCAAGGGUCACAAUUUAGCUUCCUUCCCAUGUCCAGACAUUUUGGAGGGGCUUGGUCAAACCUGAAGUGGGUUUCCCUGUCUUUAAGGACCCUGAGAAUCACCUGUGCUGAACUCUGGAUGCCACUAUGGUUUCUCCUAUUUUGUAAGGAAUUAACCAGCACCAGACCAACCCAGAAUGAGGGUGCUUCAGACAUGGCUCAGCAGGGUCUCAGGUAGCCCAGGCGGACUUUGAACUCACUAUGUAGCUGAACUCCGGGGGCUCCCUACUUCACGUCUGAAGUGUCGGGAGGAGAUAUGUACACCGCCAUGCUCGGCUUGUGCAGGGCUGUGGAUGGAAUGGAUGGCUUUGUGGAUGCUUGGCUAAACUCUUCUCUGAGCCUUUUUCCUCAUCUUCAAAGACCAGGGAACUUUCUAGGAUGAAAGAAAUGAUUAAACAGUGCUGGAGACAGUGUACUGGCUCCGUGCCUGCCACCCAGCAGGGACUUAAUAAACAGUGAGCUUUCUGCUACCUGCAGGGAAAUCCAGGUGAAAGAAAUGCCAAACUAAGGCUGGCGGGGUAUGCAUGACUAGAUUGGGGUACUGCAUCAUAGCCACCACGACCCAUCCUUAAAUGGUGCAUGCGUAUGGUUAAUCUCAAUUAGAUCUGCAGGAUCUAGAGCAGUGGUUCACAAGCUUCAUGAUUCUGGGAUCCAUUAAUAAAGUUCCUUAUGUUGUGGUGACCCCUGGCCAUAAAAAUAUUUUUGUUGCUAUUUCAUAACUAAUUUUGCUACUGUCAAAAAAUCCUAAUGUAAAUAUCCGAUAUGCAGGACAUCUGAUAUUCAACCCUAGUAAGGGGUUGUUCCAGCUCCAACGGAGUUGAGAUUCACAGGUUAAGAACUGCUGAUCUAGAACCCUCCUUGAGCCAGGCCUCUGGAUAUACCAGUGAGAUAUUAUCUACAUUAGGUAAACCUCAAGGCCUGCCUGUAAGGGAUUUUCUUGAUUAGGUUAAUUAAAGUGGGAAGCCCCACCCUAAAUUUGCAUGGUACCUUCCUGAAUGUAGAGUCCUAGUGAAAUGCUUUUAAUAUUUUGCCUUCUUGCCUUUGUCUCUUUCUGGCAAGUGCCUCUGCCAGUGCUGCUGCCACUGCUUCUGUUGCCACCGUCCUUCCUUGACAUAGAACCCAGUUUCUUUGGACUUAUAGCCUGGGCUGAAGAGCCAUGAGUAUCCAAGAAUCCUCCAAGCCUUUGGCAACAGGUUGGGAUGGCUGAGUCAUGCGAGUUCACGGCUGAGCAACCCCUGAAUCUUCACUCUCUACAGUGUGAAGACGGCCAUUGUUGGAAUACCUAGCUCUUAUUGUGUAAGCUAAUUGAAUAAAAUCCCCUUUCAAUAUGCAUUCACUUUAUUGGUUUGUUCCUCUGGAGAAGCCUGACUGAUACACAUUGGUCUCAGAUACCAGCAUCACCCUCAAGGAGCUCCUUCCCACAGCCUGGCUGGGAUCUGGGUAAAGGGAUGCCAGAGUUUUUCUCUGUCUGUUUUUCCCAUCCCCACAUCCAUCGCUUUCCUUCUCUGCUUUUUACCUCAUGGAUAUGGAUCGCUACUCUUGGAUCCCUUUCCCUGCCUAGGUUGGGGCAAUC